GCAGUGGUGGUCCAGUGGUAGAAUUCUCACCUUCCAUGUGGGAGACCUGGCUUUAAUUUCUGGCCAAUGUA
rnacentral:tRNA from 1 species